UAGUUGCCAUCGAGGUAAAGCGUGGGAACUCGUGGGGAGACUGCCGGUGGAUAACCGGAGAGGCGGGAUGACGUCAAGUCCUCAUGGCCCUUACAUCCCGGGCUACACACGUGCUACAAUGGCAGGUACAGAGGGCUGCGAAGCCGCGAGGUGGAGACGAAAUCCCAGAAACCUGUCUCAGUCCGGAUUGAAGUCUGCAACUCGACUUCAUGAAGGCGGAAUCGCUAGUAACCGCGAAUCAGCAGGUCGCGGUGAAUACGUUCCCGGGCCUU
rnacentral:rRNA from 1 species